UUGCUCGAGCUGCUCAUGCGGCGAGAGCGGGUCGCCGCGUGCCGGCCGGGGGACGGACCGGGAAUCGCCCCUUCGGGAGCGUUCCCCGAGCAUGAAACAGUGGACUCAGACCUGGUACGGACAAGGGGAAUCCGACUGUUUAAUUAAAACAAAGCAUUGCGAUGGUCCCCGCGGAUGCUGACGCAAUGUGAUUUCUGCCCAGUGCUCUGAAUGUCAAAGUGAAGAAAUUCAACCAAGCGCGGG
rnacentral:ncRNA from 1 species